rnacentral:rRNA from 1 species
UGCAAGUCGAACGGUAACAGGAAGCAGCUUGCUGCUUCGCUGACGAGUGGCGGACGGGUGAGUAAUGUCUGGGAAACUGCCUGAUGGAGGGGGAUAACUACUGGAAACGGUGGCUAAUACCGCAUAACGUCGCAAGACCAAAGAGGGGGACCUUCGGGCCUCUUGCCAUCAGAUGUGCCCAGAUGGGAUUAGCUAGUUGGUGAGGUAACGGCUCACCAAGGCGACGAUCCCUAGCUGGUCUGAGAGGAUGACCAGCCACACUGGAACUGAGACACGGUCCAGACUCCUACGGGAGGCAGCAGUGGGGAAUAUUGCACAAUGGGCGCAAGCCUGAUGCAGCCAUGCCGCGUGUAUGAAGAAGGCCUUCGGGUUGUAAAGUACUUUCAGCGGGGAGG